ACAUAGGAUCUGAGCUUUCAUGUUUAGACAAAAAUUUAUCCUAAUUUAGGCAAUGUUUUCAAAAUUGUUGAUGGAGGGAAAAAAGUGUGAAGAAAUGAUCAAAGGGCCAGAAAACUGGGUCGAAAAUGCAAGGCCCAUUGCGAGAAGCCCAAACAGAUGAAAAAAAGAAAGAAUAUGGUCAGAAGCAACAAAGGUCUUGUCCCUUUCAGCAUCUCUUCAUUUUGGGUAAUAUUGUUUAGGCAAAUUCUGAAUUGUUCUCACUCAUCCCUUUUACAUGCAACCUAAAACAACUUUAUCAGAGACAAAUCACGUUGCUGCAAGCUCCUCAAUUCAAAUUUCAAAUUCAAAAUAACACCUUCAAAUUUUGAAUCUCAAACCUCCCCCUAUUUCUCUCUGUUUUCCACCUAUCCCUUUGAUAUUCUUCUUUCUACUGCUUUCCUCCAUUUUUUCUUCAUUAUUGGCUUGCAGAAGACAAUCAACGAUACGUGGAGUAACUUUGAUUUUGAAUUCAAGGAAAAUAUCAAUUGAAGCGGCGAUAGAAGGAACCUUUCAUACACAACGACUUUGUCGGAACCGCCAUUGACAAGGACACACCGCUGGAACCAGUUAAAGAGCUAUCUUCAUAAAUGAAUGUUCAAAGGGCUUCUCAAAAAACAAAUUUCACCGCAAAAUCGCCGAAGAUCUUGGUCGUGAUAGAUUCUGACAUGGGGUUGCUGAUUCGGAUGAUUCGCAAACUAUGUCUACCCUAUUUUUCUGGUAACAUUUAAUUGGCGUUUUUUUGUUCCGAAAUCCCUAAUGUUCUAAAUCCUAAUCAAAGUUCAUUUUAUGGUGUUUUGGAAUUAGAGUUUGAUUAAAAAAUGUAAUUUGACAUGUUUUAAUAAUAAUUUUUUUUUGUAUGGAUUAAACUAGAGUUUGAAUUUAUAGAGUUAGAAGGGAUUUGCUUUUGCUACUCUCUAUUUCCUUAAUUUUUUACCUGACUUUGAAAUUAGUGGAUGGAUUUGCUUCACACAUGAAUUUCCAUGGUUUAGUUUUUGAUCCAACAACCAAGUGCCAAUGAAAUGAUUAUAAGUACCACAACUUAUAAUUUUUUUUAUCAUUUUUGCUAACUAUUGGUUUCUGAUUUCACAUUUCUCUUCAAUUUUUAUUUAUUUUGUGAUGCCUUUAUAAGUGGAUCAAUUAUAGUUUGAUAUUUUUAAUUACUUUUAUUUUGAUUCCUUGAAUUAUUGUCAUUCCUUGAUGGUGAGGUACAUAGCUUGAUUGUAUUUGAAAACUCCUCAUUAUGUGGUUCUUUGAUUCCUUGAUUUCUCUGUUAUUGUUUGUCCAAGUUCACAAACCUAGCGACCACAAAGAUCGAUGAAGUAGAGCACACGACUGCAGCGAAGGAGUUUUUUUAACUUAAAAUGUAUAAUACCUAAUUGUGUUAAAAGUGUGGAACCAUGUAAAAACUUCAACUUGGAAUAGGAUAUUGAUAUUUUGUCACCUACAAGAGGAGUGGUAUAUAAAGAGCAAAUCAUAAACAUCAAGAUCUAGCCAUUCAUGCAUGCACAAAUGAGUUGAUAGUAUGCAUUUUACAGAGAUGAAGUAAUUGCAUUAUGGGAGGAUUUAAAUCGAAUUCUACACACUCUACAUUUUUCAAGUUCUAUAAACAAGUAAGUGUCUUCACUCUUUGACUAUGAUUUAAUUUUUUGUUACUUUGUUCGAACUUUUUAGUAAGAAUGUUUAUGUGUUUGCUCUUUUGGACAAACCACAUUGACCUUCUAACUAAUCUGGGUGUGUUUCAUUUUUUAUUGACUCUGAAUUUGUUUGCUGGAUUCUUCUCCCAAUCAUUUUUUUAACACAUUCAUUUUUUGAUUAAGUAUGUUUUGUUUCAAGUUAGCAUAUUUAAGUUAGAGACUACAUGUGGUACAUGUAAGGGAAAUUGGAACUCUAAAAAUUUCAUUGGUAUAGUGUAAACAUUCGCGUUGAAAAGGAACAAAGAGUAGUAGGCAAUAGGCAGUACCUGUGGUCUCAUGGUUUGGAUUCUAUUAUACUUUAAUGCAUAAGAACAACUAACUUUUACCGCAAAUUGAAUCCGAUAUAAAUGUCUGACUCAUGGAUGCUGAAGGGAAGGAAUUCCAAAUCAUACCAAUCUAUGGAAACAAUUUUGUAGAAGGAAUUAUAGGUCUUAAAAGUGAAAGUUGUUAAAGGUGUGUAGACUUAUUUUUAAUUCAAUUUUGUUACUUCUGUGAUUUGUGUGUCAUUAUAGCGUGUUAUUCAUAUCUUAUUAGAAAGACUCAAGUGUAUGUACAACAAAAAAAAAGAAUGGCUCAAGUAUUCAAACUACAUGGUUUGAUUAUCUUUUGUCGAAGCAUUCCUUAGAUUUUAACUACAUUUGCCUCAUUAUAGUGUCUUCUGCAUAGUUUUUAUUAAGAUAUAUAUCUUAUUAUAUAUUUAUAACUUAUUAGAAUUAGAACGACCCACUUCUUCAAACUACAUGGUUUGGUAAUCUUUUGUUUAAGCUUAGACACUCUUAUUUGACAAAAGUGUUAAUGAUGAAUUCUUUCACUUUAACUUUAUAGUUUCUUUCCAAUAAUAUAAGUAUUUUCUUAUUGUGUAUUAUUUACUAAUGCUAUUUUUAUUUUUAUUUUUUACAGAUUUGGUUUUACAUCUAAAGGAGAUUGUGAGCCGAAAUAUCGAUAGGGUUGCAAAAUGGGUUUUUAACUUCCAAAGGAUUUAUCCAUGAUAAUACAAUGUUUAAAAAGGGUUUUAUAUAGUUUAAGUUUACCGUAAUGGUAUUAACUUUCUUUAGUUCAUGAGUUUUUCUCUUAAUGGAAUUUGAAAAAAAUUCUUGAAUGAAAAUAAAAAUGACAUUAAAAUAUAACAUUAAGUUUGCUAU